AAAAGACAGUCUCAGUUCGGAUUGAAGGCUGAAAUUCGCCUUCAUGAAGCCGGAAUUGCUAGUAAUGGCAGGUCAGCAUACUGCCGUGAAUACGUUCCCGGGCCUUGUACACACCGCCCGUCACACCAUGAGAGUUGGGAAUACCCGAAGCCUGUGAGCUAACUGUAAAGAGGCAGCAGUCGAAGGUAGAAUCAAUGAUUGGGGUGAAGUCGUAACAAGGUAGC
rnacentral:rRNA from 1 species